rnacentral:rRNA from 1 species
UACGGGGGGGGCAAGCGUUGUUCGGAAUUACUGGGCGUAAAGGGCUCGUAGGCGGCCAACUAAGUCAGACGUGAAAUCCCUCGGCUUAACCGGGGAACUGCGUCUGAUACUGGUUGGCUUGAAUCCGGGAGAGGGAUGUGGAAUUCCAGGUGUAGCGGUGAAAUGCGUAGAUAUCAGGAAGAACACCAGCAGCGAAGGCGGCGCUCUGGGCUGGAACUGACGCUGAGGAGCGAAAGCGUGGGUAGCAAACAGG